GAUGAACGCUGGCGGCGUGCCUAAUACAUGCAAGUCGAGCGAACAGACGAUGAUCUUGCUCCUCUGACGUUAGCGGCGGACGGGUGAGUAACACGUGGAUAACCUACCUAUAAGACUUGGAUAACUUCGGGAAACCGGAGCUAAUACCGGAUAAUAUAUUGAACCGCAUGGUUCAAUAGUGAAUGAUGGUUUUGCUGUCACUUAUAGAUGGAUCCGCGCCGCAUUAGCUAGUUGGUAAGGUAACGGCUUACCAAGGCAACGAUGCGUAGCCGACCUGAGAGGGUGAACGGCCACACUGGAACUGAGACACGGUCCAGACUCCUACGGGAGGCAGCAGUAGGGAAUCUUCCGCGAUGGGCGAAAGCCUGACGGAGCAACGCCGCGUGAGUGAUGAAGGUCUUCGGAUCGUAAAACUCUGUUAUUAGGGAAGAACAAAUGUGUAAGUAACUAUGCACGUCUUGACGGUACCUAAUCAGAAAGCCACGGCUAACUACGUG
rnacentral:rRNA from 1 species